UACAGAGGUCUCAAGCGUUGUUCGGAUUCAUUGGGCGUAAAGCGUGCGCAGACGGUUGCGUAAGUCAGAUGUGAAAGCCCCGGGCUCAACCUGGGAAUUGCAUUUGAGACUGCGUAGCUAGGGUGCGGAAGAGGGAAGCGGAAUUUCCGGUGUAGCGGUGAAAUGCGUAGAUAUCGGAAGGAACACCAGUGGCGAAAGCGGCUUCCUGGUCCAGCACCGACGUUCAGGCACGAAAGCGUGGGGAGCAAACAGG
rnacentral:rRNA from 1 species